CCAAGGAGUCUAAAGCAUGUGCGAGUUCCCGGGACUUGAAUAGGCCCGAGGGCGCAAUGAAAGUGAAGGGCGGCUUCCGCCGUCCGAGUUGGGAUCCGUCCCCUUAUGGGGGCGGCGCACCAACGGCCCGUCCGAUACCGGUCUCGGUAGGGCGGAGCUAGAGCAUAUGCUCUGGGACCCGAAAGAUGGUGAACUAUGCCUGGGCAGGACGAAGCCAGAGGAAACUCUGGUGGAGGUCCGUAGCGAUUCUGACGUGCAAAUCGAUCGUCAGACCUUGGUAUAGGGGCGAAAGACUAAUCGAACCAUCUA
rnacentral:rRNA from 1 species